rnacentral:rRNA from 1 species
GCGGACGGCUCAGUAACACGUAGUCAACCUAACUCGUGGACGUGGAUAACCUCGGGAAACUGAGAAUAAACCACGAUAGAUCAUAGUGCCUGGAAUGGCUUAUGGUCCAAACAGUUUACUGCCAUGGGAUGGGACUGCGGCCUAUCAGCUUGUUGGUGAGGUAAUGGCCCACCAAGGCGAUUACAGGUACGGGCUCUGUGAGGAGAAGCCCGGAGAUGGGUACUGAGACACGGACCCAGGCCCUAUGGGGCGCAGCAGGCGAGAAACCUUAGCAAUGUGCGAAAGCACGACUGGGUCAGUCCGAGUGAUUCCUGAUAAAGGAGUCUUUUGCUUGUCCUAAAAGCACAGGUGAAUAAGGGGUGGGCAAGUCUGGUGUCAGCCGCCGCGGUAAUACCAGCACCUCGAGUGGUCAGGACGUUUAUUGGGCCUAAAGCAUCCGUAGCCGGCUUUGCAAGUCUUCGGUUAAAUCCACCUGCUCAACAGAUGGGCCGCUGGAGAUACUACAGAGCUAGGGAGUGGGAGAGGCAGACGGUAUUCAGUGGGUAGGGGUAAAAUCCUCUGAUCCAUUGAGGACCACCAGUGGCGAAGGCGGUCUGCCAGAACACGUUCGACGGUGAGGGAUGAAAGCUGGGGGAGCAAACCGGAUUAGAUACCCGGGUAGUCCCAGCUGUAAACGAUGCAAACUCGGUGAUGCAUUGGCUUAUGGCCA